UAUCCGCCCGGGUACUACGAGCAUAGCUUAAAACCCAAAGGACUUGGCGGUGUCUCAGACCCACCUAGAGGAGCCUGUUCUAGAACCGAUAACCCCCGUUAAACCUCACCACUUCUUGUUAAUCCCGCCUAUAUACCGCCGUCGCCAGCUUACCCCAUGAGAGUAAAGCAGUAAGCAAAAUGGAUAAGUUCCCAAACGUCAGGUCGAGGUGUAGCGCACGAAGUGGGAAGAAAUGGGCUACAUUUUCUAUUAUAGAAAAUCACGAAUGGCCUACUGAAAUAAGCCCCUGAGGAGGUUUAGUAGUAAAGCAAAUAGAG
rnacentral:rRNA from 1 species